rnacentral:misc_RNA from 1 species
UUCAGAGUUCAGAUUGGUCGACAAAGUUCUCUUUUAGAGAAAGAGAAUAAGAAUGUAUUUUUGUAUCAGUUAUUAAAUACAGUAAUUAUUAUCUCAUUCGACCUGAGGCUGAAUGAGAGUGAGAAUGAGAAAGCUAUGUAAAUUAAUCUCAUUUUGUAGCCGACAAGCAAAAAUUAAUGAAAAAAAUAUAUGUACAUUACUUCAUUUGACAUUCUAAAAACCGAAACCCAACCCAACUGCCUGCAACUCGACGUGCCUACGAAACGUUGUUAACAGAGGAUACAUAUCAAAUAACUUAUGAGUUUCAGAAACCGAGCACAUAAAAACGAGAAGCGCGUUCAACGAGCAUAUAAAUCGAGGUUGCGUUCGAAAAAUACACAAACCAAUUUAAAAAGAUCAACGUCGAAACGAUUUGGUGGUGUUUUUUUUUCACGGUUUUGUUUCCAACUGAAAAUACACAUCUCCUCGGGGCAAGGUGAAAAGGCAAAUUGAUUCGUUCGAUG